GACGAACGCUGGCGGCGUGGAUUAGGCAUGCAAGUCGAACGGUAGGAUACCUUCGGGUAUCUGAGAGUGGCGAACGGGUGAGUAACACGUAGGUGAUCUACCCUCAAGAUUGGGACAACCCAGGGAAACUUGGGCUAAUACCGGAUGAAAGCAGCAGUGAUGUUGUUUGAAAGGUGGCGUAAGCUGCCGUUUGGGGAUGAGCCUGCGCUCUAUUAGUUAGUUGGCGGGGUAAAGGCCCACCAAGGCGAUGAUAGAUAGGCGGCCUUAACGGGUGGUCGCCCACACUGGGAUUGAGAUACGGCCCAGACUCCUACGGGAGGCAGCAGUCGAGAAUAGUCUACAAUGGCCGAAAGGCUGAUAGUGCGACGCCGCGUGAACGAGAAGCCCUUCGGGUGUAAGUUCUUUUAUAUGUGAGCAGUGCUUUCUAUGUGAACAGCAUGGGGAGAGAGAUAUUAGCAUAUGAAUAAGCAACGGCUAACUCCGUGCCAGC
rnacentral:rRNA from 1 species